rnacentral:rRNA from 1 species
GUCUGCAACUCGACUCCAUGAAGUCGGAAUCGCUAGUAAUCGUAGAUCAGAAUGCUACGGUGAAUACGUUCCCGGGCCUUGUACACACCGCCCGUCACACCAUGGGAGUGGGUUGCAAAAGAAGUAGGUAGCUUAACCUUCGGGAGGGCGCUUACCACUUUGUGAUUCAUGACUGGGGUGAAGUCGUAACAAGGUAACCGUAGGGGAACCUGCGGUUGGAUCACCUCCUUACCUUAAAGAA